GGGUUGUGAGGUUAAGCGACUAAGCGUACACGGUGGAUGCUAGGCGGUCAGAGGCGGAUGAAGGGCGUGCUAAUCUGCGAUAAGCGUCGGUAAGGUGGAUAGAACGUUAUAACCGGCGAUACCCGAAUGGGGAAACCAGUGUGAAUUCGUCACACUAUAUGGUCAUGAAUACAUAGUGGCAUGAGGCGAACGGGGGAACUGAACAUCUAAGUACCCGAGGAAAGAAAUCAACCGAGAUUCCCCCAGUAGGGCGAAGCGAACGGGGAACAGCCCAGAGUCUGAAUCAGUUGUGUGGUCAGUGGAAGCGGUCUGAGAGUCGCGCCCCAGUAAAGGGUUUGAACAGCCCCCGUACACAAAGACACCCCUUCUUGUGAACUCGUGAGAGGGGCGGGACACCGUGAUAUCCUGUCUGAAGAUUGGGGGGACCAUCCUCCAAGGCUAAAUACUCCUGACUGACCGAUAGUGAACCAUUAGUACGCAGGUGAGGAAAGGGCGAACAGACCCCGGCGAGGGCGAGUGAAAAAAGAACCUGAACCGUGUACGUACACAAGCAGUGGGAGCAUCCUUGCGGGUGUGACUGCGUACCUUUUGUAUAUAUGGUCAGCGACUAUUUUUCGUAGCAAGGUAAACCGUAUAGGGGAGCCGAAGGGAACCGAGUCUUAACUUGGGCGUUUAAGUUGCAGGGAAUAACACGCAACCCGGUGAUCUAGCCAUGGGCAGGUUGAUAGGUUGGGGUAAACCUAACUGGAGAGGCGCGCCGAACCGACUAAUGUUGAAAAAAUUUUUUUUUUUUUUUUUUUUUUAGCGGAUGACUUGUGGCUGGGGGUGAAGGCAAUCAAACCGGGAGAUAGCUGGUUUCUCCCCGACAAGCUAUUUAGCGUAAGCGCCUCGUGAAUUCAUCUCCGGGGUAGAGCACUGUUUCGGCUAGGGGCCAUCCGGCUUCCAAACCGAUGCACACGGAAUACCGAGAAUGUUAGUCCGGGAGACACACGGCGGGUGCUAACGUCGUCGUGAAGAAGGGAAACAACCAGACCGCCAGCUAAGGUCAGAAGUCAUGGUUAAGUGGGAACCGAUGUGGGAAGGCACAGACAGCCAGGAUGUUGGCUUAGAAGCAGCCCAUCAUUUAAAGAAAGCGUAAUAGCUCACUGUCGAUGUCGGCCUGCGCGGAAGAUGUAACGGGGCUAAACCUGCAACCGCAAGCUGCGCAUCUAGCGACACUUAGGUGUUGUUGGGUAGGGGAGCGUUCUGGUAAGCCGCAAAGGUGGACUGUGAGGUCUGCUGGAGGUAAUCAGAAGUGCGAAUGCUGACAUAAGUAAACGAUAAGCGGUGAAAAGCCCGCCUCGCACGGAAGACCAAGGGUUCCCUGUCCAGCGUUAUCGGGGCAGGGUAGUCGAACCCUAAAGCGCGGCGAAAGGCGCUAGUCGAUGGGAAACAGGUUUAAUAUUUCCUGUACUCCGGUGUUACUAGCGAGGGGGGACGGAGAAGGCUCUGUUAGCCGGGCGAACCGGUUGUCCGGUUUAAAGCAGUAGGCGGAGGUUCCAGGUAAAUCCGGUACCUUAUUACGCUGAGGUGUGAUGACAGGCACUACGGUGCUGCAAGAACAAAUGCCUGCUCCAUGGGGGAGGCAAAGCCUCUAAGCAUCAGGUAACACGAAUCGUACCCCAAACCGACACAGGUGGUCAAGGUAGAGAAUCCAAGGCGCUUGAGAGACUCGGGUGAAGGAACUAGGCAAUAAUGGUGCCGUAACUUCGGGAGGAACACCCGUCGCUAGGUUAAGUCACUUGCUGUACGGAGGCCGAAGGCAGUCCGAUAGAUUACCACUGGCUGCAUACUGUUUAUAAAAUAACACAGCACUGUGCAAACCACGAAAAGUGGACGUAUACGGUGUGACGCCUGCCCGUGCCGGAAGGUUAAUUGUGGGGUUAUCCGCAAGGAGAAGCUCUUGAUCGGAAGCCCGGUAUAACGAGCGGGGCCGUAAUCUUAACGUCCCUAAGGUAGCCGAAUUCCUUGUCGGGUAAGUUCCGACCUGCACGAAGGGCGUAAUGAUGGCCAGGCUGUCUCCAACCCGAGACUUCAGUGAAAAUUGAACUCCUGUGAAGUGCAGUGUACCGCGGGCAAGACGUGAAAGACCCGUGCACCUUUACUACAGCUUGACAUGAACAUUGAGCCUUGAUGUGUAGGAUAUGGUGGGAGGCUUUGAAAGCGUGGAACGCCAGUUCUGCGGAGCCCAUCCUUUAAUACCGACCCUUUAACGUUUGAUGUUCUAACCUGGCGCCGUGAUCCGGCGUGGGGACAGUGUCUGGUGGGUAGUUUGACUGGGGCGGUCUCCUCCCAAAGAUAAACGGAGGUAGCCGAGAGGUUGGCUAAUCCUGGUCGGACAUUCAGGAGGUUAUGGCAAUGGCAUAAGCCAGCUUUGGACCUGCGAGAGUGACGGCUGAGCAGUGCGAAAGCAGGUCAUAGUGAUCUCCGGUGGUUUCUGAAAAUGUGAAGGGCCAUCGCUCAACGGAUAAAACGUUACUCCGGGUAUAACAGGGGCUGAUACCGCCCAAGUGAGUCAUAUCGACGGCGGUGUUUGGCACCUCGAUGUCGGCUCAUUUCACAUCCUGGGGCUGAAGUAGGUCCCAAGGGUACGGCUGUUCGCCGUUUAAAGUGGACGCGAGCUGGGUUUAGAACGUCGUGAGACCAGUUUCCCCUAUCUGCCGUGGGCGCUGAGAAUUGAGAGGGGUUGCUCUACUCUAGUACGAGAGGACCGGAGUGAACGCACCACUGGUGUUUCGGGUUGUCAUCCAACAUGCAUUGCCCGGUAGCUAAGUUGCGGAAAGAUAAGCGCUGAAAGCAUCUAACGCGAAACUUGCCUCGAGAUGAGUUCUCCCUGAUCCUUUGAGAAUCCAUGAAGGGACGUGAAGACUACGACGUUGAUAGGACCGGUGUGUAAGCGACAGCGAUGCGUUGGAGCUAACCGGUACUAAUGACCGUGAGGCUUAACCUUACAACACCAGAAGCGUUCUG
rnacentral:rRNA from 1 species